UACGGAAGGCAGCAGUGGGGAAUAUUGGACAAUGGGCGAAAGCCUGAUCCAGCCAUGCCGCAUGAGUGAAGAAGGCCUUCGGGUUGUAAAGCUCUUUUAGUGAGAAAGAUAAUGACGGUACUCACAGAAGAAGUCCUGGCUAACUCCGUGCCAGCAGCCGCGGUAAUACGGAGAGGGCUAGCGUUAUUCGGAAUUAUUGGGCGUAAAGAGCGCGUAGGCUGAUUAGAAGUUAAAAGUGAAAUCCCAAAGCUUAACUUUGGAAUUGCUUUUUAAAACUGCUAGUCUAGAGAUUUGAAAGAGGAUAGAGGAAUUCCUAGUGUAGAGGUGAAAUUCGUAAAUAUUAGGAGGAACACCAGUGGCGAAGGCGUCUAUCUGGUUCAAAUCUGACGCUGAGGCGCGAAGGCGUGGGGAGCAAACAGGGAUUAGAUACCCGU
rnacentral:rRNA from 1 species